GCCGACGUAGCUCAGUGGUAGAGCAUUUCCAUGGUAAGGAACAGGUCGUGAGUUCGACUCUCACCGUCGGCU
rnacentral:tRNA from 1 species